CAAAAAUCUGUAGGAGUCCAACCAUAGGCGCCAACUACAUGGCUGUUCUGGGGCUGGAGCACCCACGGGGAACAAUUAGCAGGUGCUCCGCAUGCACCGGC